rnacentral:rRNA from 1 species
UACGUAGGGUGCGAGCGUUAAUCGGAAUUACUGGGCGUAAAGCGUGCGUAGGCGGUUCCUCAAGUCCGUUGUGAAAGCCCCGGGCUCAACCUGGGAAUGGCAUUUGGGACUGCAAGGCUCGAGUGCGGCAGAGGAGACUGGAAUUCCUGGUGUAGCAGUGAAAUGCGUAGAUAUCAGGAGGAACCCCGAUGGCGAAGGCAGGUCUCUGGGCUGACACUGACGCUCAUGCACGAAAGCGUGGGGAGCAAACAGG